rnacentral:rRNA from 1 species
GAGGAAUGUAUAGCAAUAGCUACUUGCAUCAUUGUAUAAAUGAUGCAGGAUCGACUAUGUCGAAUAAAAUUCUAGGUAGAAUUAUGAUAAUGACAUUGUCUGCCUAUGUGUCUUGACCAAAUUACGUGCCAGCAGUCGCGGUAAUACGUAGAAGACUAGUGUUAUUCAUGUUUAAUCGGUUUAAAGGGUACCUAGACGGUAGAUCAAGCCUAACAUAUUAGAUAAAGGGACUAAUUUACUAGAGUUACUUAUGAGGGGGUAUUAAAGUACUGCUGGUGUAGAGAUGAAAUUCUGUCAUACCUCUUUUCAAUAGAAAAAUAAUGGCACAGGUAUAGGCGAAAGCAUCCCCUUAUGUGAUAACUGACGUUGAGGGACGAAGGCUUUGUGUAGCGAACAGGAUUAGAUACCCCAGUAGUCAAAGCAGAAAAUGAUGAAUGUCAUAGAUUAGAUAAAUAAGUUUAUUCUAUAAAUGAAAGUGUAAGCAUUCCACCUCAAGAGUAAUUUGGCAACAUUGGAACUGAAAUCAUUAGACCGUUUCUGAAACCAG